rnacentral:rRNA from 1 species
UACAGAGGUCCCAAGCGUUGUUCGGAUUCAUUGGGCGUAAAGGGUGCGUAGGCGGCGCGGUAAGUCGAGUGUGAAAUCUCGGAGCUUAACUCCGAAACUGCAUUCGAUACUGCCGUGCUUGAGGACUGGAGAGGAGACUGGAAUUUACGGUGUAGCGGUGAAAUGCGUAGAUAUCGUAAGGAAGACCAGUGGCGAAGGCGGGUCUCUGGACAGUUCCUGACGCUGAGGCACGAAGGCCAGGGGAGCAAACGGG